UCCUUCUAUCUUUCACAACUACACCACCCACACUUUCUCUUCUUCCUCAAAAUUUGGUCCCAUUUUCUGUCCACAAUUUUUGUUUUUCACUCUCUCCACACCCACUUGCCCGGAAUCAAGAUUGUAUUCUUCCUGUUUAGACCUUCCAAGUAGCAAUUCCAAUAUUCUACAAACUGCUCAUUCAUUCGUCAAAACUCAGAACUGCUCAUUCAUCAGUGAGGUUUUACGGUCUCCUUGGAGAGGUAAGAAAUUGAUUAGGUAUCAAAUGAUUCAAAGAUGAUGAAAACAAGCUUGGGAAGUUUAUUAUUGUUGAAGAUGGGUAUGAUUGCAGUUAGUUUGGCUCUACAGAUGUAUGGGAUCGAUUGUUCAAGAAGUCUCCUAAGCCUCCAGAGAAAUUAUCAUUCAGUUAUCUGAGUCAGAAAUUAUUAAAGAGAUUCCGAGGUUUCUUAUUGGUAUUUUGGAGUUUGAAUCCCCCCAUUACUAUUUGUGGGAAGGAGUUGUGCAAUCUCCAGGAUGCAGCCGGUACAUAGACUUCACCAGUUUACCAAACGCACACAGGAUGUUUGUAUAAAGGCCUGAAUGACUAUUUCUCCACAGCUCCAUCCACGACCAGUUUUGCCAUCCAAGUCUGAACUAGUUUUCUUCCAAGGUUCAGUGCCGGCAAACUACAAGUCCGAUGAGUGUUUGCCAAGGAUUCAUAGGGGUUUCGAAGACAAGAAGAAUACAGAGCCUGUAGACAAGAAUUUGAUGCCGAGAAGAACCUAAAUUGUGUCGUUGUAAUUCGGCAUCAGGUCUUGUAGAUGAUUAAACUAGUUAACCCGUGAGCACCUGUGAACCCGCAAGCUUUACCCGGGACGGACGCGGGUCGGAUAAAUGACCACCCGUGAAGAUUUUCAACCCGCAAGCUUAGACUUGUAUUAACCCGUAACCCGCGGGUUGGUCACAAGCCAGCCCCGUCCCGCCCGUUUGCCAGCUCUAUGCUCGUUCAGACUUAGACAACUUCCUAUCUCUUGCAACUGGUUCAGCUUUUUCUUUAUCUUCACCUUCUACAACCAACACGACAUGUAGAAUGUUAAAACCCACUACUUAAUUAUUCAAAUUCAAUCUUAGUCAUCAAAAUAUGAACUCAUACUCUAGACCUAAGCAUGUAUGCGACAGAACACAUGACUAAUGAUUAUUGUAAAUGAAGCUAAUAGGGUAUCACAAUUAGACUUCACUAUUGAC